rnacentral:rRNA from 1 species
AUUGAACGCUGGCGGCAUGCCUUACACAUGCAAGUCGAGCGGUAACGGGCCUUCGGGUGCCGACGAGUGGCGCACGGGUGAGUAAUACAUCGGAACGUGCCCGAUCGUGGGGGAUAACGAGGCGAAAGCUUUGCUAAUACCGCAUACGAUCUACGGAUGAAAGCAGGGGACCGCAAGGCCUUGCGCGGACGGAGCGGCCGAUGGCAGAUUAGGUAGUUGGUGGGAUAAAAGCUUACCAAGCCGACGAUCUGUAGCUGGUCUGAGAGGAUGAUCAGCCACACUGGGACUGAGACACGGCCCAGACUCCUACGGGAGGCAGCAGUGGGGAAUUUUGGACAAUGGGCGCAAGCCUGAUCCAGCCAUGCCGCGUGCAGGAUGAAGGCCUUCGGGUUGUAAAAUGCUUUUGUACGGAACGAAAAGCCUUCUUUUAAUACAGGAGGGUCAUGACGGUACCGUAAGAAUAAGCACCGGCUAACUACGUG